rnacentral:misc_RNA from 1 species
AACAAUUUGAGAGGUUCUCUGGAUUACCCGCACCCAAGGAACUCUUUCGGAAAAUUAUGUCCAAAUAUUAAUGGGGUCUCAUGGCUAAUCUUAUGAAUGUGGCUGGUUUUUCUUUUCCAUGGUUGAAUUAAAACAUCUUCUUUUCCUCUUUGGAGAUUCUUGGGGGAGGGAGAAAAGGAAAUGCUUAUGCAGUUUGACCAUUAAUUAUUCUGAAACUCAUUUUUUUUUACCUGAUGGAAAUAUAAUAUAAUUCCUACAAAAAAAAAAAAAUGAGUUUCAGAAUAAUUAAU